GUGAGGAAUUUUCCGCAAUGGGCGAAAGCCUGACGGAGCGACGCCGUGUGUGCGAUGAAGUCUUUCGGGAUGUAAAGCACUGUCAGAGGGGAAGAUAUUGACGGUACCCUCAGAGGAAGGCCCGGCUAACUACGUGCCAGCAGCCGCGGUAAUACGUAGGGGCCAAGCGUUGUCCGGAAUUAUUGGGCGUAAAGGGCGUGUAGGCGGUCUAGUAAGUCAGAUGUUAAAUCUACGGGCUCAACCCGUAGCCGCAUUUGAUACUGCUGGACUAGAGAGUGGUAGAGGAAAGCGGAACUUCCGGUGUAGCGGUGAAAUGCGUAGAUAUCGGAAGGAACACCAGUGGCGAAGGCGGCUUUCUGGGCCACUUCUGACGCUGAGACGCGAAAGCUAGGGGAGCAAACGGGAUUAGAAACCCCAGUAGUCC
rnacentral:rRNA from 1 species